GCUAAACCACUGAAACUGAGUCCACCCAGUUUGUGUGGGUGGAUUCAAGUAGAUAUUUCAUAACCCCACUGUCGUUGACUCCCUACUCCAACACGAAUCGAGUCAAGAAAAUAUCACAAAAGACAUGGAUUUUCUGAGGUCUGCUCUCUUCAUGGUGUUUCUAGCAGGAGCAUUUUCACAGCAAAUCAAGGAUGCCUCAGAUUCCAGUUCAUCAGAAGAGGCACCAAAAACCAAGGCACCAACUCCAAUACCACCCAGAACUACACGGCACACCACUGUUACCACGACUGCAGCGGCCAGAACUACACCAUCUAUCGUCGUAACCCGGACAGCUUUACCUCCAACAGCACCCAUACCCACAGAGAUUCGAGGGGAUAAUGCAAUGAUAUUCUGCAAAUCUGGCAAAUGUCAGAAAAUGUCCUAAGUUUACCCUGCACUGAACGAAUGAUGCAAUGUUGUAACAAAAGGGAAUUCUGCAUGAAUUCUAAGCAUAACUAGUGACAUCUAAAGGUGAAUGUGUCCUUUUCUUGCUAAAUAUUAUAUGCAUUUCAAUUAGUUACUCUAUUGCAGAUUUAUUUCAUGGUAGUUUAUCUUGGUUUAAAAGUAGGAUGUGUUUGUUCAGUUUAUGUUAUUUGUUGGAAUAGUUUAAGCUGUUUUGCAGAUUAAUGUUCUUAUUUUUCAGAAUAAUAUUCUUAUUCUCAUUCUUAAAUAAAGAACAUUUUGUUCACUGUUGUUCUGUGCAGUUACAUUAUCGCUGUUAUCUGCAAUGGUUCUGAUAUUUACAAGAUUUGUAAUGAAUUCUUGACUGCCACUUCUCUUUUUUAUCUAUUUAACUAGUUAUGUUAAUGAUAGCUAAUUUAGAAACAUACAUAACCAUCAAUUCCUGAACUGAAUGACAGGCUUUAGAAGCUAAUUUAGACAUAAGACAGUUCCACAUGUGUAUAAAACCCAUGUAUCCAGUCAUCUCUGAACCAGAUGACCACAAAGUCAUAGGUUCAAACCCCACU
ensembl:lncRNA